UACGUAGGGGGCAAGCGUUGUCCGGAUUUAUUGGGCGUAAAGGGCGCGUAGGCGGUUUCUUAAGUUUGAAGUGACAGUGGGUGGCUUAACUACCCAAGGCCUUUGAAAACUGGGGAACUUGAGGACCAGAGAGGGACAUAGAAUUCCGGGUGGAGUGGUGAAAUGCGUAGAUAUCCGGAGGAAUACCAAAGGCGAAGGCAGUGUCCUGGAGGGUUAACUGACGCUGAGGCGCGAAAGCGUGGGGAGCGAACAGG
rnacentral:rRNA from 1 species